GAUGAACGCUGGCGGCGUGCCUAAUACAUGCAAGUCGAGCGAACAGAUGAGGAGCUUGCUCCUCUGACGUUAGCGGCGGACGGGUGAGUAACACGUGGAUAACCUACCUAUAAGACUGGGAUAACUUCGGGAAACCGGAGCUAAUACCGGAUAAUAUAUUGAACCGCAUGGUUCAAUAGUGAAAGACGGUUUUGCUGUCACUUAUAGAUGGAUCCGCGCCGCAUUAGCUAGUUGGUAAGGUAACGGCUUACCAAGGCAACGAUGCGUAGCCGACCUGAGAGGGUGAUAGGUCACACUGGAACUGAGACACGGUCCAGACUCCUACGGGAGGCAGCAGUAGGGAAUCUUCCGCAAUGGGCGAAAGCCUGACGGAGCAACGCCGCGUGAGUGAUGAAGGUCUUCGGAUCGUAAAACUCUGUUAUUAGGGAAGAACAAAUGUGUAAGUAAAUAUGCACGUCUUGACGGUACCUAAUCAGAAAGCCACGGCUAACUACGUG
rnacentral:rRNA from 1 species